rnacentral:rRNA from 2 species
GACGAACCGUCCUAACGUUGUUCGGAAUCACUGGGCUUAAAGGGCGCGUAGGCAGGUUCGCAAGUCCGGGGUGAAAUCUUUCGGCUUAACCGGAAAAGGGCCUUGGAUACUGCGAGUCUCGAGGGAGGUAGGGGCCUGUGGAACUUUGGGUGGAGCGGUGAAAUGCGUUGAUAUCCAAAGGAACGCCGGUGGCGAAAGCGACGGGCUGGACCUCUUCUGACGCUGAGGCGCGAAAGCCAGGGGAGCAAACGGG